GACAUCAUAAGAUUUCUGAAAUGUGUGGGCUUCUUUAUUUCAGACUGUUGUAAACAAUUUGGUGCCUAUCAUGCCCAUAUCUUUAUGUUCCUUAUGCAUACCAUUUACUUCAAUUAAGUAUUUUGAGUUGGCAUAUGCAAAAUUAUUUCACGUUUUUCACAGAUGUUCCCUAUUUUCCCUUUUCUCUUAAGAAUUAAGAAAAACCAGUGAUGUCAACUAUUGCUUAUCCAUUAAAGCAAAAUUACAGAGGGAGAAUGGAGAGGAGUCACAGCACAACAGCACACUUGAAGAAGACUCUGAAGGAGAUAAUGAUUCUGAGGAAUUUUAUUACGGAGGACAGGUUAGCUAUGAUGGAGAACUUCAUAAACACCCACAGCUGGAAGCUGAUUUGAUAGCAGUGAGAGAGAUCUAUGGACCUAACGCAGUAUCUCUCAGGGAUCUGUUGAACUGAAAUCCAUACAGUUUUGUAUGGGCUUAGGAAGUGAAUGAGAUAAAUGUCUAGUUGCCAAACUGUUAACUAUGAAAUUGAGAAUACCUUGGUAGUGUGCUCCCUAAGGCUUCUAAAAUUGGAACAUGGUAUGUAACCUUUCAAAAACUUUAAUGCGUCUAAUUUGUUGAAUCAGUGUUUCAUUAUGACCUCCUUAGGCUCACUGUCGUAGAAAUUGGCAUUUAUGGCUUUUGGCAUGUAGAAAACUUUCAUGCUUCUUGCACUCAAUUACAGUGGAAAAUACUUACGAAUUCUUGGAAAUGAUAAACACAGAAUUAAGCAUUCAGUUUCAUCCUUCUCCAACAGCUCCGCUUCUCUGAUUGCAACAAGCUUAUC
rnacentral:lncRNA from 1 species